UAGGGAAUCUUCCGCAAUGGGCGAAAGCCUGACGGAGCAACGCCGCGUGAGUGAUGAAGGUCUUCGGAUCGUAAAACUCUGUUAUUAGGGAAGAACAAAUGUGUAAGUAACUAUGCACGUCUUGACGGUACCUAAUCAGAAAGCCACGGCUAACUACGUGCCAGCAGCCGCGGUAAUACGUAGGUGGCAAGCGUUAUCCGGAAUUAUUGGGCGUAAAGCGCGCGUAGGCGGUUUUUUAAGUCUGAUGUGAAAGCCCACGGCUCAACCGUGGGGGGUCAUUGGAAACUGGAAAACUUGAGUGCAGAAGAGGAAAGUGGAAUUCCAGGUGUAGCGGUGAAAUGCGCAGAGAUAUGGAGGAACACCAGUGGCGAAGGCGACUUUCUGGUCUGUAACUGACGCUGAUGUGCGAAAGCGUGGGGAUCAAACAGG
rnacentral:rRNA from 1 species